rnacentral:rRNA from 1 species
UAGCAGUGAAAUGAGUAGAUAUGCGGAGGAACACCGAUGCAGAAGGCAAUCCCAUGGACCUGUAUCGACGAUCAUGCACGAAAGCGUGGGGAGCAAACAGGAUUAGAUUCGUUGGUAGUCCACGCCGAUAUAAGAUGUCAACUGGUUGUUGGGAGGGUUUCUUCUCAGUAACGUAGCUAACGAGUGAAGUUGACCGCGUGGGGAGUACGCACCGCAAGGUUGAAAAUCAAAGGAAUUGACGGGGACCCACACAAGCGGUGGAUGAUGUGGUUUAAUUCGAUGCAACGCGCAAAACCUUACCUACCCUUGACAUGAUAGGAAUCGUGCAGAGAUGUGGGAGUGCUCGAAAGAGAACCUCGGCACAGGUGUUGCAUGGCUGUCGUCAGCUCGUGUGGUGAGAUGUUGGGUUAAGUCCCGCAACGAGCGCAACCCUUGUCAUUAGUUGAUAUGAAAGGGCACUUUAAUGAGACUGCCGGUGACAAACCGGAGGAAGGUGGGGAUGACGUCAGGUCAUCAUGGCCCUUAUGGGUAGGGCUACACACGUCAUACAAUGGCCGGGACAGAGGGCUGUCAACCCGCGAGGGGGAGCUAAUCCCAGAAACCCGGUCGUAGUCCGGAUCGCAGUCUGCAACUC